UUUAUGGAGAGUUUGAUCCUGGCUCAGGAUGAACGCUGGCGGCGUGCCUAAUACAUGCAAGUCGAGCGAACGGACGAGAAGCUUGCUUCUCUGAUGUUAGCGGCGGACGGGUGAGUAACACGUGGAUAACCUACCUAUAAGACUGGGAUAACUUCGGGAAACCGGAGCUAAUACCGGAUAAUAUUUUGAACCGCAUGGUUCAAAAGUGAAAGACGGUCUUGCUGUCACUUAUAGAUGGAUCCGCGCUGCAUUAGCUAGUUGGUAAGGUAACGGCUUACCAAGGCAACGAUGCAUAGCCGACCUGAGAGGGUGAUCGGCCACACUGGAACUGAGACACGGUCCAGACUCCUACGGGAGGCAGCAGUAGGGAAUCUUCCGCAAUGGGCGAAAGCCUGACGGAGCAACGCCGCGUGAGUGAUGAAGGUCUUCGGAUCGUAAAACUCUGUUAUUAGGGAAGAACAUAUGUGUAAGUAACUGUGCACAUCUUGACGGUACCUAAUCAGAAAGCCACGGCUAACUACGUGCCAGCAGCCGCGGUAAUACGUAGGUGGCAAGCGUUAUCCGGAAUUAUUGGGCGUAAAGCGCGCGUAGGCGGUUUUUUAAGUCUGAUGUGAAAGCCCACGGCUCAAC
rnacentral:rRNA from 1 species